UACGGGGGGGGCAAGCGUUGUUCGGAAUUACUGGGCGUAAAGCGUGCGCAGGCGGUUGUGCAAGACCGAUGUGAAAUCCCCGGGCUUAACCUGGGAACUGCAUUGGUGACUGCAGCGCUGGAGUAUGGCAGAGGGGGGUGGAAUUCCACGUGUAGCAGUGAAAUGCGUAGAGAUGUGGAGGAACACCGAUGGCGAAGGCAGCCCCCUGGGCCAAUACUGACGCUCAUGCACGAAAGCGUGGGGAGCAAACAGG
rnacentral:rRNA from 1 species